ACAGUUUAGCUGAUCCAGUGUACUGUAAAGUCUGUUUCACUCCACCAGCCAACAAGGAGCAGGCGGCCGUGGUUUUCUCAUGUUCUGGGGGAAGCUGUUUGUCAGUGUUAACCUGGCUAACUUUGGACAGCUGCAACAACAACAUCUAUCCCUUGGCAUAUGGUGUGUUUAGAUGCUAAACACUGCCUCAUCUCUUACCUAAAGUUAACAUCUGAUGACAUGAUCGCAACUCCAUAUCCUGAGUUGAUUUCAACCUAUGAUGUUGGAAUUUUCCACAUGGAGAUAAACACUGGGAAGCAGCUAAUCAUUCUCUCUGGAUUUAUAAGGAACAAAUGGAUAAGUGAAACUUGAAAACAAUGGCCAAAGUACUAAGAACUAAUGUUUCUUCAACAAAACAAAUACUUUUACUUUAAGAACAGAAGAUAAAAGGCCAAAGUUGUAAUAUAAGACAAAUUACGGAAAUAUACACUUAUACAUAUAAAACCACUCCUCUUUUUAAAAAAUCAUGCUUUUUAAGAAGAAUCUUCUCAUAUCAGUGAGAAAGAAAGUUAUCUUAACAAACAAAAAGUAUUUUGAAAAAAAGCGUUCACAUGUAUAAGAAAGAAAAUGAACAAAUAAAUAGGAAAAAAGAUCUCUGGUUCAACCAUAUCAAAGCUUCUUCAUGUUUGUUAUUUUACUCUAAAGGACACCUCCCUGAUCUUGAACUGAUAAUACAGUUAAAAGAAUUAACAGAAAGAGAGAGGGAUAGAAAUGGUCACGUACAGAAUGAAAAAUAAAGGAAAUUUUUUUCUUAUUAUUUUCCUAAUUUGUCUUAAUUCAAAUGAGCAGAAUAGAGUGCUCCAAAUCAGAACUGUGACUCACUAGAACUAAUAUAUUUUGUCAACAUAUUUAUAAUUGAACAUAUCAGUAAUCUUUCAUUUGAACAAUUAAUUGUGUCAGUAAUCAUUUAUCUGCAUAAUAGUUAUAAUUAAUUUGUUACAUUUAUUUAAUUAUUCAUAAUUUAUUACAAAAUGCAACAUCAAGAAUCAUCUAAUAACAAAACUUAUUUGACAGUGUUUGAUAAAUAUGUUUAUGAAUGUCCCACUGAGAUAUGUUAAAAACCACAUUGAUAGCAAAAUUACUUUAAAAUACAUGCUUUAUCAUUAUGGCAAUAGAUGCUGUUUAUGACUCAUCUUGUUUCUAUUCUGUACGACAAACUCUCAGAUCUUCUUUUUUCAAACUUCGAUUUGAUCUCUGAGUUUCUGACUUUCCCCUCUCUCUUUCUUACUUAUUUUUGAAAAAGGACAUUUUGACACUACCAAUAAUGAUAAAAAAAAGAGAGACGAAAAAGUGAGAUUAGCAGGUAAUUUUUAAAGUUAAAGAAUAGUUAUAUUUAGGCAGGGCACAGUGCCUCACGCCUGUAAUCCCAGCACUUUGGGAGGCCAAGGUGGGCAGAUCACAUGAGGUCAGGAGUUUGAGACCAGCAUGGCCAACAUGGUGAACCAUGUUUCUACUAAAAAUACAAAAAUUAGCCUGCUGUGGUGGCACAUGUCUGUAGUCCCAGCUACUGAUGAGGCUAAGGAGGGAGAAUCACUUCAACCCAGGGAGCAGAGCUUGCAGUGAGCUGAGAUCGUGCCACUGCACUCCAGCCUUGGCGACUGAAUGAGUCUCUGCCUCAAAAGAAAAAAAAACAGUGAUAUUUAUUCAUUAUUGCCACAAUAGGAUAAAAUGAUUUAAGUCCAUAUAAAUCUAAGUAAACCUGCAAUUGUUUAUAUCCUAAAAGGACACACAAGGAAGUACGUUUGAAAUUAAUCAUGUGGCUUUCUUCCCACCCCAAAUACUCCCCCACUCUCCAGAUUCUUUAGAGUUCACUUUUCAAAAGGAUUGAAAAAACAUAUAUUUCAAAGUUUUUUUUUUUAAUUUAAGGAAUUGAAAGAGCAGAAAAUAUAUACUAAUCAUUCUUCUUAAGCCCUGUGCUCUGUUUCAUUUUCCAAAGGCGUCUACUCUCAGUGGUUUGUUUUUGCUCUUUUUGUGGUUAUGGUUAUAACUAAAUAUGGUAAUCAUUUACCUCGCUUUGUUGCUGCAUUUACCUGCUAUGAAGUAUGAGGAAUUUAGUUUACUUGCACUUCUACUUUCAAAAUUAUUGUUUAUAGCCUCAAUAUUAGUUCUCCUUGAAUGAUGCAUUUGAACUCCCUAUUUGUAUUGAAAUAGCUACUAUCUUCUACUCUGAAAGAUGAAUAAAUUAAUGCACUUAC
rnacentral:lncRNA from 1 species